GAUGAAGAACGCAGCGAAAUGCGAUACUUGGUGUGAAUUGCAGAAUCCCGCGAAUCAUCGAGUUUUUGAACGCAAGUUGCGCCCGAAGCCAUUCGGCCGAGGGCACGUCUGCCUGGGUGUCACGCAUCGUUGCCCCCCCAAACUCCGGUUCGGGCGGGGCGGAAGUUGGCCUCCCGUGUGUGCCUGCGCGCGCGGUUAGCCCAAAAGCGAGUCCUCGGCGAUGAGCGCCACGACAAUCGGUGGUUUUUUUACCCUCGUUCCUCGUCGGGCGUGCCCCGUCGCCCGAACGCGCUCUUGCAACCCUUACGCGUCGCCUCGGUGGCGCUCCCAACGCGACCCCAGGUCAGGCGGGACUACCCGCUGAGUUUAAGCAUAUCAAUAAGCGGAGGA
rnacentral:misc_RNA from 1 species